AAGGAUUUAAGUUAAGAAAACUAACAACCUUCAAAGUUGUAAAUAGAAGACGGUUCUAAGCCUUGCC
rnacentral:tRNA from 1 species